CAAUCGGCCCUUUUCAGGGCCACCGAAAUUUUCAAAUUCUUCUCCU
rfam:Trichomalopsis sarcophagae strain Alberta scaffold20258, whole genome shotgun sequence.